AGCAGCCGCGGUAAUUCCAGCUCCAAUAGCGUAUAUUAAAGUUGUUGCAGUUAAAAAGCUCGUAGUUGAAUUUCGAGAUCAAAUUGUUGGUCGUGCCUUGGUACGCACUGGCAUUAUUGGUUUCUCCCUUCUGACGAACCAUGAUGUCAUUAAUUUGGUGUCUUGGGGAAUCAGGACUGUUACUUUGAAAAAUUAGAGUGUUUAAAGCAGGCUCACGCUUGAAUACAUUAGCAUGGAAUAAUGAAAUAGGACGUUUGAUUCUAUUUUGUUGGUUUCUAGGAUCGACGUAAUGAUUAAUAGGGAUAGUUGGGGGCAUUAGUAUUCAAUUGUCAGAGGUGAAAUUCUUGGAUUUAUUGAAGACUAACUACUGCGAAAGCAUUUGCCAAGGAUGUUUUCAUUAAUCAAGAACGAAAGUUAGGGGAUCGAAGACGAUCAGAUACCGUCGUAGUCUUAACCAUAAACUAUGCCGACUAGGAAUCGGAUGAUGU
rnacentral:rRNA from 1 species